rnacentral:rRNA from 1 species
AGUAACGGCGAGUGAAGCGGCAACAGCUCAAAUUUGAAAUCUGGCUCCUUCGGGCCCCAAUUUGUAUUUUGAAAAGAUGGCUUGGGUCUGGGCCUGGCCUAAGUUUCUUGGAACCAGGCCUCCAUAAGGGGGGAAAUCCCCGUUGGCGGUGGCGCCCGUGCCCGUGUAAAGCUCCCUUCACCAAUCCAGUUUGUUGGGAAUGGCACUUCUAAUGGGUGGGUAAUUUUCUCCUAAGCUUAAUUUUGGCCCAAAACCCGUUGCCGCCCAGUUAAAUGGACCAAAAAAGAAAAACACUUUUGAAAAGAAAUUAAACAAUACGUGAAAUUGGUGAAAGGAAGCGCUGGGCACCAGACUUGCUCGC